AGUGAACGCUGGCGGUAGGCCUAACACAUGCAAGUCGAACGGCAGCACAGUAAGAGCUUGCUCUUACGGGUGGCGAGUGGCGGACGGGUGAGGUAUACAUCGGAAUCUACUUUUUCGUGGGGGAUAACGUAGGGAAACUUACGCUAAUACCGCAUACGACCUACGGGUGAAAGCAGGGGAUCUUCGGACCUUGCGCGAUUGAAUGAGCCGAUGUCGGAUUUGCUAGUUGGCGGGGUAAAGGCCCACCAAGGCGACGAUCCGUAGCUGGGCUGAGAGGAUGAUCAGCCACACUGGAACUGAGACACGGUCCAGACUCCUAGGGGAGGCAGCAGUGGGGAAUAUUGGACAAUGGGCGCAAGCCUGAUCCAGCCAUGCCGCGUGGGUGAAGAAGGCCUUCGGGUUGUAAAGCCCUUUUGUUGGGAAAGAAAGGCAGCAAGUUAAUACCCCGCUGUUCUGACGGUACCAAAAGAAUAAGCACCGGCUAACUUCGUG
rnacentral:rRNA from 1 species